GGCUGUCAAUGGCCUGCCAGAGUUCUAUAAAAAGAACUCUUGGGCCCUGAUCCUUUUAUCUCAGAUGUGCUUAAGCUUCAUCAGAGGAAGUUUGAGUCGCAAGACUGAGAUCUUCAGUCUCAUCUGGAUCACCUUGACAUUGGAUUGUAACCUAUGGGCUAAUUCUAAAAGAACUCUUUGCAGCUCUAAAGCUCACCAUCUCUACUAUAAAGCUGACCUAAGAACUCUAUUCAUGUCUGCUCUGUGUCAAAUCCUGUCUGAUUCUUACCAUGGCAAAGGUGCAGCUCUCACAUCCUCUGAGACCAGAAAUUUUUCCAUGUUUCCACUUUUGAUAGUAUUCUUUUGCAAGGACUUGACCUACUAAGGCCCAAUAAGACUGAUGCAUGACUUCUGCUGGUAGCAAAGGGAGUCUACUCAAUCCCUGAUCGUUGAUAUUGGCAAAGAGUGAUGCAAAAGAUCAGGAUUCUAGUAAGUUUCACUUCAGAACAAAUUGAAAAGAGGGAGCAGCUGGUGAAGCAGAAGCAAACUACACCUUUGGUGAAAGAGAACACAAAUGAGAAGAAGUAGCAAACGACACAGAAUUGGAGAAGUGGACACAAUGUAGCAUGAAGAGAAGGGUUAUGGCUAAUAGUUAUUGCAUUAAAAGUGUACUCUUAAAA